rnacentral:rRNA from 1 species
GGAAUAUUGGGCAAUGGAGGAAACUCUGACCCAGCGACGCCGCGUGCGGGAGGAAGGCCUUCGGGUUGUAAACCGCUUUCAGUAGGGAAGAAGCGACAGUGACGGUACCUACAAAAGAAGCACCGGCUAACUAUGUGCCAGCAGCCGCGGUAAUACAUAGGGUGCAAGCGUUGUCCGGAAUUAUUGGGCGUAAAGAGCUCGUAGGUCGUUUGUUACGUCGGAUGUGAAAACCUGAGGCUCAACCUCAGGCCUGCAUUCGAUACGGGCAAACUAGAGUUUGGUAGGGGAGACUGGAAUUCCUGGUGUAGCGGUGGAAUGCGCAGAUAUCAGGAGGAACACCAAUGGCGAAGGCAGGUCUCUGGGCCAAUACUGACACUGAGGAGCGAAAGUCUGGGGAGCGAACAGGAUUAGAUACCCUGGUAGUCCAGACCGUAAACGGUGGGCACUAGUUGUGGGAACCUUCCACGGUUUCUGCGACGCAGCUAACGCAUUAAGUGCCCCGCCUGGGGAGUACGAUCGCAAGAUUAAAACUCAAAUGAAUUGACGG